rnacentral:rRNA from 1 species
UUAAGCAUAUUAAUUAGGGGAGGAAAAGAAACUAACAAGGACUUUCUAAGAAGCGGCGAGCGAAAAGAAAAUAGUUCACUAGGUCACUUUGUCUUUAUGGCAAAUGUGAGAUGCAGUGUAUGGAGCAUCAAUAUUCUAGUAUGAGAAAUUAACGAUUUAAGUCGUUCUUAAAUGAGGCCAUUUACCCAUAGAGGGUGCCAGGCCCGUAUAACGUUAAUGAUUACAAGAUGGUGUUUCCAAAGAGUCGUGUUGCUUGAUAGUGCAGCACUAAGUGGGUGGUAAACUCCAUCUAAAACUAAAUAUAACCAUGAGACCGAUAGUAAACAAGUACCGUGAGGGAAAGUUGAAAAGAACUCUGAAUAGAGAGUUAAAUAGUACGUGAAACUGCUUAGAGCUUAAGCCCGAUGAACCUGAAUAUCCAUUAUGGAAAAUAUGAAAAUAUUUUAAUAAUAUUAUAAUAAUAGUGUGCAUUUUUUCCAUAUAAGGACAUUGUAAUCUAUUAACAUAAACCAAAUUUAUCAUAAAAUAUGACUUAUAGUUUAUUUAAAUUAUUUUGCUUGCAUUUUAACAUAGAAUAAAUGUCAUUAAUUUGAUAAAGUGUUGAUAGAUUUAUAUGAAUACAGUGCGUUAAUUUUUCUGUGUGGAACGUACCUUGAGCAUAUAUGCUGUGACCCGAAAGAUGGUGAACUAUACUUGCUCAGGUUGAAGUCAGGGGAAACCCUGAUGGAAGACCGAAACAGUUCUGACGUGCAAAUCGAUUGUCCGAAUUGAGUAUAGGGGCGAAAGACCAAUCGAACCAUCUAGUAGCCAACUUCCUUCCGAAGUUUCCCUCAGAAUAGCUGGUGCAUUUAAAUGUUAUAUAAAAUAAUCUUAUCUGGUAAAGCGAAUGAUUAGAGGCCUUAGGGUCGAAACGAUCUUAACCUAUGCUCAAACUUUAAAUGGGUAAGAACCUUAACUUUCUUGAUAUGAACCUUGAUUUAAGGUUACGAUAUAUUGUGCCCAGUGGGCCACUUUUGGUAAGCAGAACUGGCGCUGUGGGAUGAACCAAACGUAAUGUUACGGUGCCCAAAUUAACAACCCAUACAGAAACCAUGAAAGGCGUUGGUUGCUUAAAACAGCAGGACGGUGAUCAUGGAAGUCGAAAUCCGCUAAGGAGUGUGUAACAAUUCACCAGCCGAAGCAACUAGCCCUUAAAAUGGAUGGCGCUUAAGUUGUAUACCUAUUCAUUACCGCUAAAGUAGAUGAUUUAUAUUAUUUAUAAUAUAAAUUUUGAAACUUUAGUGAGUAGGAAGGUACAAUGGUGUGCUUAGAAGUGUUUGGCGUAAGCCUGCAUGGAGCCGCCAUUGGUACAGAUCUUGGUGGUAGUAGCAAAUAAUCGAAUGAGACCUUGGAGGACUGAAACGGAGAAGGAUUUCGUGUGAACAGUGGUUGAUCACGAGUUAGUCGGUCCUAAGUUCAAGGAGAAAGCCGAAAAAUUUUCAAGUUUUAAAAAUGUCAAAUGAAAUAAUAAAUAAUAAAACACUUGAAUAAUUUUGAACGAAAGGGAAUACGGUUCCAAUUCCGUAACCUGUUGAGUAUCCGUUUGUUAUUAAAUAUGGGCCUCGUGCUCAUCCUGGCAACAGGAACGACCAUAAAGAAGCCGUCAAGAGGUAUCGGAAGAGUUUUCUUUUCUGUUUUAUAGCCGUACUACCAUGGAAGUCUUUCGCAGAGAGAUAUGGGAGAUGGGCUAGAAGAGCAUGACAUAUACUGUUGUGUCGAUAUUUUUUCCUCGGACCUUGAAAAUUUAUGGUGGGGAUACGCAAACUUCUCAACAGGCCGUACCAAUAUCCGCAGCUGGUCUCCAAGGUGAAGAGUCUGUAGUCGAUAGAAUAAUGUAGGUAAGGGAAGUCGGCAAAUUGGAUCCGUAACUUCGGGAUAAGGAUUGGCUCUGAAGAUUGAGAUAGUCGGGCUUGAUUGGGAAACAAUAACAUGGUUUAUGUGCUCGUUCUGGGUAAAUAGAGUUUCUAUCAUUUAUGAUAGUUAUUUGUUCCCCGGAUAGUUAGUUACGUAGCCAAUUGUGGAACUUUCUUGCUAAAAUUUUUAAGAAUACUAAUUUUAAUUAGUUCUUUUAAAUUAUAACGAUUAUCAAUUAACAAUCAAUUCAGAACUGGCACGGACUUGGGUAAUCCGACUGUCUAAUUAAAACAAAGCAUUGUGAUGGCCCUAGCGGGUGUUGACACAAUGUGAUUUCUGUACAUUGCUCUGAAUGUCAAAGUGAAGAAAUUCAAGUAAGCGCGGGUCAACGGCGGGAGUAACUAUGACUCUCUUAAGGGAAGCUGGGUCGGAUGAGCGCAGAAGGGGUGUUCUUCGGAACACUGUAAUUCAUAAUUCGUAAGUCUGAUCAAGUCGAUUUGGAACCUCCUCGUGGUGUUUCCUGGGUGCUGUUAAGUUCCUAGUCUCUAGGUUCUUUCCAGUAGCUAAUUCGAGUGGCGAAGCAACUCUUGGGGUUACCAGCCCCUUGAGCCAAGUAACUUUGGUCAAGAUAUGCCUCGGAUAAACAACACAACGACAACUCCAGCGACUUCCCGUCCUGGGGACCAACCGAGAGAGGCUAUAGCAGUGGUAAAUCUCGCGGGAGAGAUUCCCUGUGCAGUAUGUGGGCGGCUCUUCAAUACUAGAAGGGGGCUCGGUGUUCACAUGUAACAUCAACAUAAAGAUGAACUAGAUACGCAACGUCAGCGUGAAGAUGUAAAACUCCGAUGGAGUGAGGAAGAAGCGUGGAAAAUGGCGAGAAAGGAGAUGGAGCUCGAAGCAAGUGGUAAUUUGAGAUUUCCUAAUAAGAAGCUAGCGGAAGUAUUUACUCACCGUAGCUCCGAAGCAAUUAAAUGUUUUCGGA